rnacentral:rRNA from 1 species
UGGGGAAUAUUGGGCAAUGGGCGAAAGCCUGACCCAGCGACGCCGCGUGGGUGAUGAAGGCCUUCGGGUUGUAAAACCCUUUCGUGCGGAAAGAAUAGUCCUGUAGCGAAUAACUACGGGAUUUGACGGUACCGCAGGAAGAAGCACCGGCUAACUCCGUGCCAGCAGCCGCGGUAAUACGGAGGGUGCAAGCGUUGUUCGGAAUUAUUGGGCGUAAAGGGCGCGUAGGUGGUUGUGAUAGUCAGAUGUGAAAUCCUUCGGCUCA